rnacentral:rRNA from 1 species
AGUGAACGCUGGCGGCGUGCCUAAUACAUGCAAGUCGAACGGAGUGGCGCACGGGGGAGUAAUAUAUAGCUAAUCCGCCCCUUUCGGGAGGACAACAGUUAGAAAUGACUACUAAAACCCCAUAGCAAGGGAGGAGACUAUAUCGUAUCAGCUAGUCGGUGGGGUAACGCCCUACCGAGGCUAUGACGCGUAACUGGUCUGAGAGGAUGAUCAGUCACAUUGGAAGUGAGGCACGGUGCGAAAUCAUACGGGAGGGAGCAGGAGGGAAUAGUGCGCAAUGGGGGAGAACCUGAAGGGGCAACGCCGCGUGAAGGAUGACACGUUUGGGAGAGUAAACUCCUUUUGUUAGGGAAGCGGUACCUAAAGAAUAAGCACCGGCUAACUCCGUGCCAGCAGCCGCGGUAAUAC